rfam:Rhizobium sp. 63-7 SCNpilot_expt_1000_bf_scaffold_1380, whole genome shotgun sequence.
CACACGUGGGGCAUGGGAUCGUCCGGGAGAAAUCCGGGCUGUUCCGCCGGUGGCUUCCUCGAAGAGGAGGCUGUUCGCCCCGCGGAGGUUCAACCGGAAAAGGAGAAAAAGG